rnacentral:rRNA from 1 species
UACGUAGGGUGCAAGCGUUGUCCGGAAUUAUUGGGCGUAAAGAGCUCGUAGGCGGUUUGUCGCGUCUGCUGUGAAAACUCGGGGCUUAACCCCGGGCGUGCAGUGGAUACGGGCUGGCUGGAGGCAGGCAGGGGAGAAUGGAAUUCCCGGUGUAGCGGUGAAAUGCGCAGAUAUCGGGAGGAACACCGGUGGCGAAGGCGGUUCUCUGGGCCUGUGCUGACGCUGAGGAGCGAAAGCGUGGGGAGCGAACAGG